rnacentral:lncRNA from 1 species
AAGUUUAUAUUCAUUGGUAGUGAAGGUUGCUAGUCACAAUCGCGUUAAUUGAAUUCUUGGCAAACGUAUCAUGCAUUCAUAGUUACAAUUGCCUCGUCAACACUUAUGAUUUUCAUUGAACGUAAUGAUCUUUGAUUGUAUCUCUAUUAUGCAUUCAUGUAGGGGACUUUUGGAGAAUAAUUUGGAUUGUCGUAUGCAUUCAUCCAAUUCAAUAAAUCAAGGAAAAUCUGAGGAUUAAUUAGUGAAUCACGGUUAAUCUGGGGUGUUGAGUUUCAUAAUCUAUUGAAAAGCAAUUGGAAAUCAAUUCAUGUACAAGUGUGUCAUGUGUGAAGAAUGGAUCUCUAGCUAAUCCAUCAACCAUCUGUUUAGUUUUACUUUUUGUUGUUAUCUCAAUCUCAUCAAAACCAAAUCCCCUUUUUUCUUAAUUCUUGUUCUAAAGUGUCUUAAAUUUGUUUAGUUUGUGCUUUAAAGUGUUUUGAGUCUAGUGAGGUAUUGUAAGGUAUAGUUUUGUGUCAUUGAGUCUAUUCUAAACAUUUUUAACUUUGUUCUUAUAUUUUUGAGUCAAGUGAGAGGUCAUUAGCAAGUCCUCCUAAUCCCCGGUCCAGAACGAUCCCUACUUAUACAUAUACUACAAUUGUCAACAAGAAGGUUUAAUUUGUGUGUCAAGUAAUUCUCGCAUCAAAUUUUGGCGCCGUUGCCGGGGAUUAGCAACUUUGCUAAUCCCUUGGUUCUUUUCUUUUUGUUUAGUUUGUUUUUGUUUUAGUUUCUGACUUAGUUUUGUUUUCCUUGUUUUGUGUUACUUUUGAUAUUUGAUUUAUUUUUCUUUCUUUGAUUUUAGGUACAAAUGGAGCGAGACAUGGCACUUGCGACCAUUCAAGCUCAAUUGGCACAGCUCACUGCUCAAUUGACUCAUAAUGCCGAACGGACCACAAUGCCAAGUGUCCCUACAUUUGAUGCAAAUGAAGAUGUUUGGGGAUAUCAUUAGCAAGUCCUUAAUUUUAUGCAAAUGAAGAUGUUUGGGGAUAUCAAGGCCAUAACCAAUCAAGGGGCAACAUAUUUUCCAACGCGUACAAUUCAGAUUGGAGAGGUAAUUCAGAUUAUAUGUGGGAUGAACCUCAACAAUUUCAACAAGGUGGAUAUUGGCAGCAAGACGAGUUUUAUUCAAGACCUAUGCAGCCACCACAGCAUCCCCCACAACAAUUCCAAUCAAAUCAAAGUAUGCCCGUGAAUUAUAAUGAAAUUCUUGAAGGACUAAUUUCUGUGGCGCAGGGUUUACAAAAAGAAGAACAAUUGCCGCCAUCAGAAGAGUUCUAUCAGUAGCCAUAUGAACCGUCACAGCCACCACAACAAUCAACCCAAUUCAAUUCAGGUACAUCCUUGGAUAAUGAUACACUUAAUAAGUUACUCACCUUUUUGAAUCAGGGCAAAACCAGGAGAUGCAAGACCGAGUCAAAAGAUUGGACAAAUUGGAUAUGCAAGUUGGGCAGAUUGUGGAAUUCAUGGCACAGAUUCGAGAUCAAAGUGAACUUUCCAACUCAAACAUUGCAAAUUCAAAGGCAGAAGUUGAAAUCGAUGAAGCCAUCACUUUGGAAGAAUGAACACAUGAAGGAUGAAGCUGAAUCCAGAACAAUCAACAACACAGCCCGAACAUGGAUGAAUUGCUGCUGCAAGCAGAAGAGGAGAAGGACGAAGACCUGGGUUCAAGAAGUUAGAAGAAUUCUUGCUGCAACUCCUCAAAUCCCAUGUCAUUGAAACACUGGAUUCAACAAGUUCAAUCAAAUGUCCCCAAGUUCAAAUUUGUUCCAACAAUGUGCCUGUUUGUCAUUGAAAGUUUGUGUUCAAAGAAAAAGAAAGUAAGCCAUCUUCUCCAAUUCAAUUUUAAUGGAAUUAUACUAAACAUGUUUCUGAUUUUGAUGAUUCAAGGCACCCACUCUUGAAUUUAAACCAUUGCCCCAAAGAAUCAUUUCAAGAUAUCACACCAUCCAUUAAAAGAAACCCGGAAAUUUCCAAUGCUUUUGGAGCCGAGGGGAGUUUAAAAAGAUGUCCGGCUAAGGACGUUAAAUCAAGCGCUUCUUGUUCAGAGGCAACCCAAGCAUUUCAACGAAGGGAGACUUUGGAAUCGCUAACCAAAUCAGGGAGCAUUUUGCAUUACACCCUUAUCUUUACUGCUUUCAUUUUGUUCAGUUAGUUGUGUUAUUUGGUUGAUUUCUGUGAGUUUGUGUUAUUUAGUUUAAGUGUGGGGGAAGGUUAAACAAAGUCUUUUUACAUUGAUUUACAUAUUUUACAUUGAUUUAAAAAAAAAAAAAACAUAAAAGUAAAAAUAUUUUACAAUGAUGUGUAAACUAAUAGUUUUCAUUGGUCAGGUGGUGCUUCAGUAGUCGGCGGAGCUUCAGCAGUCGGUGGGGCCACGGAAGGAGGAGGUAUCAAAGGUUGAUCAGUUGGAGCUUCACUACGCGGUGCCGCUCCAGAAGACGAAGGCAGAUGUUGUUGGAACAAACCCACAAACCUCCGAUGAUCAAGUAAAAUCUGACCAUUAGAUUCAUGUAUCUGGUCAAUUUUCCUCUUCAUGUUUGUGGCAUAGUUGUGUGCAAGCUUGUGCAAUUGUUUAUUUUCAUGCUUGAGUCCUCUAAUCUCCUCUUUGAGACUCUGUAUUUCAGCCACCAACGAUUCAACGUGACGGGUUCGAGCAAAUAGGCGUUGGGCCAUGUUGGACACAGAACCCGCACACUGCACACUAAGAGCCAGAGACUCCUUAACCGCCAAUUCAUCAGACCGUCUAGCAAGCAGUCUGUUAUCUCUGGGGGUGACAAGGUUCCGGGCCACCACCACAGCGGUCAUGUCAUUUUUCAUCACCGAAUCCCCAACGGUGAGAGGACCAGUAGGGGAUAUGAAAGAUGGGCUCCAUAUGUUGUCUGGUGAAGGCGGAGCUGCCUCUUCACCAAUGUUCAAGUCAAAACGACGAUCGGAAGGGCCAGACAUUUUCUGAAGGUGUUGAGAAAGAAGAGAUCGGACAGAUUAAGAAUUUGGAAAUUGCAAGAAGGGAGUGUUUACAAGAGGGAGCUCAAGUGUGUUGUGGAACACAAUUAGCGCCUCUAUAAAAAGAAGAAAUCGGAGAGGCGCUCCUCAGAGAAGCGUCCUCUCGCAAAUCGAAGAGUCGGGGCUCCUUUCUCAAACGCCUGAUUCUUUUCUCAAAAGAGGAGCCUUUCUGCCGGUUUCUUUUCUUAAAAGAGGCGUUUCAUUUCUCAAAAAAUGGGCUUGCUCAGAAACCACGAGCCGAACCCCGGAUUUCAAAAGAUCAAUUUGUCCAGACGUGUCGUCACUCGUCACAUGCAACUGGCAGCUUUGCGGAAAUUACGGGCAACUUUGUUAGAAAGCGCGUAAUUUGUACUAUUCAUCCAUCUACCGGCUGCCGACAAUGAGUGAGAGAAUAGUUCCGGUUGUGAAGAAAAGUCCUAUAAGUAUUUACCUUCGCCUUCCACAGCAAAGGCACACCUUCUUCAUCUCCGAGAUUGCAUUCCCAAAGAACCCUCUCGAGUCACUCUGUAUUCCUCAAGAACCCUUCACUCUGGGAUUCCUCAUUCCCUGGCCCCCUGCAAACAACCCAUCCAGAGCAAAAGUAUUUCAUAUCAUAAAGGUUGAAAGCAAGAGUAUCUCAUCUCAUGCAUUCUCCAUGUCCUUUUCCUUGUCUUUGUUCUAACCUGCAGGACAUGGAGAAAUUGCUCUCGAGUACUCGUCUUCCACUGCUGAUGUACUUGCAAAGAAGCUGCCACAUCUACCUGAAGAACAGAUAAGGCAAGCGAAAAUGAUACCAGCAGCAUGUGGAGACAACGUACAGAAGAAACAAGCAGAGAAGAAUGCAGCUUGCACAAUCAUCCCAGCGGAAGGAGUCUGAGAUGAAGAACAAGAGAAGCUGCCACAUCUGCUUGGAGAACAAAUAAGGAACUGCAACAUCGCCAAAGAGCAAAGUCUCGCCGUACAAUAUCAUCAAAUCAUCACUUGCAAGUAAAAAGCUAAGUGUCACCCAGUUCAAGAGGAAAACUGUGGAAAGUCAACAAGCACGACUAAUGAUCACUUAUUAGUUCUAUUCAUUGUCUUUUAUCGUGAUUUUCAAUUUUUCGUUUGCAAUUCUUGCGUUACUUAACUGAUUUAUUUCUUUUCUUUGCAGGAACUUUUGGUUAUUUCCACCCUUGAAGUUGAUUGCAGAAUUUUAGCUUGGGGGGUCAUCGCUUGGUUUUACUGCAAACUAGGGAAGUUUUUAGUCCAAUUGCUUUAUUUUCUUAUAUUAUAGUGUUUUCUGACAUUGGUAUAGAUUUCAUGGGUCCUUUCCCUCCAUCUUUUGGUUUCACUUAUAUCUUGCUAGCUGUUCAAAUUCCAUUAUUGUUUUGUGAAAACUAAUUUGGGUUUGAAGCCCUCAUUAUUUCCGGAACUCCAUGGAAAUUAAAAGAUUCUAGGAAUUUCCGACUCCAACCAUGGGGUUUUAGUUUGCAUGUUGCCUUCUCGUUGUUUGUUUGCCCUUUGUUUAUGUUUGUGUUUGUUUGACUAAUGUGUGAGUUUAUUUAAAUUGGGGGGGUUGUAAAACAAGUUGCUGUUGCAUGAUUUUCGUGGGAUUUUAUUCACCUAUCACUUACAAUGUUGUGUUUCUUGCUGUUUUUUAAGUGUGUUUUUAAGUGUGUUUUUAAGUUUGUUUUUGACAAAAAAUCAAAAUUUGACAAAAAGUUGAAUUGAAAAAAUUUUGAAAAAAGCCAAAAAGAGAGUUGUUUUUGUGUUGUGUUUGUUUGUGUCUUAGGGUACCUUCCAACAAAAUAAUGAGGAUUUGGUUUUUAAUUGCAUGACUGUUAAAGUUAAAGUUAUAAACAUGGAUGGAAGUUUGAUAUGCUCUUGAUUUAUGCUUGGUUAUAGUUAUAGUUUACGAAUUCACAUGUAAUCACAAAGAAAAAAAUUAGUUUUUGUAACAUGCUUGAAGGAAGGAACUCAAACUAACACUACAACCUUGAGAGACUUGAGCCUAAUACGUUCUUUGGAGAGUUAUUAAUCUGUGCAUUUUUGUUUUCUAAAGUCGUUGCAUGAUCUCAUCAUUCUUUGCUUGGUUGCUACUUAGAAGGCGUUUCAUCAUUUAGUUCCAAAUACUAGAACUUAUGCCCGUUCCAUUCAAAGCAUGACAUUGAUUUGCAUAACACAUAUUCAAGAUGAAGUUGUGUAGUGAACUAGAGCCAAAAAGCUUAUCCCGUGCAUAUUUGUUUAAGUUUAACCCCGUUGAGCCUUGUUUAGCCUGUUUCUUUGUUAAACGACAUUUCCCUUACCUAGCCUAGAUUAGGACUAUCCAUACCCUUGUUUUUAAAGCAUAAUGAAGCAUGACUUAAAAUGAAUUCCUUUUGAGUGUCCUUAUGCAGAAAACAAGUGUGGGGGAAUGAGAUUUUUGUGUUUUGUGUGCCAAAAGAAAGUAAUAAGGCACGGGUUAGAAAAGAAAAAAAAGAAAAAAGAAAAGAAAAAGUGUUGAAAAGAAAAGAAAAAGAGUUUGAAAUAAGUGAGGAAAGGCUCACAAGUGUUGUUUGUUGUAGAAAGGGUCCAAAAAGUUGAAAUUGGCCCUAAAAAGUUGAAUGAAUAAUCCCAUUGUGUUUAAAGUUAGUUGCUGCAUUCAAAGGGAAUUCUAAGCAUCAAUUUCAUUACUUUGCUUAUUAUGCUUUAAAAACGUUUGUUUCCUUACCUUUCAUUGUUAGCCAAUCAACCCUAACCCCGUUACAACCCUUAACUUCAAUCUUGAGUGUUAUGUGUUUCAAUAUGUAGAGUUUGGGAUUGGUACGAGCAUAUGGUGUCCCUGGUUCUCGCAUCUAAGUAGUAGCAUUCCAGUCAUGAGAUCAUAUCUAUACAUGCUUAAUAACUCCAGAAAUUACUUUCUUUGCUAUAAACAUAUGUGAGUGUUCAUUUUCAUGUUUACAUCAAUCUUCUCACAUACACCUAGUGUAGGGUGAGUAGUCAGAAAAUCAGAGUGAAAAUAAGAGUGUAUCUUGUAAGGAAUUGAGCAAAUUCUCUAAGGCAUGUCACUACAUUCAAAACAUCGUUUUAAUUGGUUAUAUGUGAACUAGUAUGUGGUGACUAUGAUUAAGUAUGUGCUCAAGGGUAGGGAAGGCAAAAAAAUAUGUGGUUAUGAUGAUCUUUUGCAUGUCAUGUUGCAUUGAAAAUCCCUAAGGUAAAUGUUGGAAGGUUUAGGUUUUGUUUUGUUUAUCUUAUGUUUUUGUUUCUUUGUUUUGCUCGAGGACUAGCAAAAGCUAAGUGUGGGGGAAUUUGAUAGGAGCAUAUUUAUGCGACUUAGUAUGUUUGUUUUCGUGCAUUUAUGUUCUUAGUUCUUAGUUAUGUUAGUAGUUUAAGCUAUUUUUGUGUGUUUGUAGGUUCUUUGGGCCAAGGAUGCAAGAAGGUGCAUUUUGGAGCACUUUGGAGCAUUUUUGGGCCAAGAUUGGAUGGUGCAAACAUGGAGACAUGAGGAUGGACGAAUUUGAUGAUUCAAAGGGCUAGAAAUCUGCAUGUGUGUGUGCAAAGUGUUGGCCUACAACUUCAAACAUCAUAGCUGCCAUGUGAUGGCAGAAAAUGUGUUUAUUGCUAGCUAAAUGGAUGAAGAACAUGCAUGUGCAAGUAUAAACACCACAUGGGCAGCAAGAAGGAAAGAAAACAGCAAAACACACACCACAUGGGCAGCAAGGAAUCAGAAAUUAAAGAAUGGAAGAGUGGGAAGUGAUGAGGACAACACACACACACACACACGGCAAUGGAAUGGAGUUGGCAGAUUUCUACAACAUUGGUAGUGAAUGGACAGCAAGGAAUGGCAGAAAUUGGACCACUAUGAGGUGGAUUUCUGGUUGGUCUUCCACUUAUAGCUUUGGGUGGCUUUGGAAUGAUUAUUUCUAGGUGGAAAUAGCACAAAAACAGCACACACACAUGCAAAACAAAGCUGGCAGCAUCCUUCCCUUCAUUGCCGUGGGUUUUUGUGUGUCCAUUACCUUGCAUUUCUUUUCAUUUCCAACCUCUAUAUAAGCACCAUUCAGCCUUCAAGGAAGACACACAGAAAUUCAUACACAUUUACAUUAGUUCCAAGGCUUGCAAAGAAGGAGGAGUGCUUGGAGUUGUGCUAGCCAUUCCAUUGGAGUUGUUGGAGCAUUCUAGGUGUAUUCUACUUUGUUUUUCUAUGUUUAAUAUCAAUUGUUUUUGUUUAAUUGCAAGUAUGAGGAACUAAUCCCCUACUUAGCUAGGGGGAAGUUCGAAGCCAUGAACAUGCUUGAGAUAUGAAUUGAUUUCUUCCAAUUGUGAUUUAAUAAGUUGUGAAUGCAAUUCAAUUAACUACUUUCUUCAAAACUAAUUCUUGUAUGUUGAUUAAUGAUGCAUACUUAGUUUUCAUGCAUGAAUUUGAUGCUAGGAUAUAAAUGAGUUUCACCUAAUCGUUACAAGUUUAUAUUUCAUUGGUAGUGAAGGUUGCUAGUCACAAUCGCGUUAAUUGAAUUCUUGGCAAACGUAUCAUGCAUUCAUAGUUACGAAUGCCUCGUUAACACUUAUGAUUUUCAUAGAACGUAAUGAUCUUUGAUUGUAUCUCUAUUAUGCAUUCAUGUAGGGGACUUUUGGAGAAUAAUUUGGAUUGUCGUAUGCAUUCAUCCAAUUCAAUAAAUCAAGGAAAAUCUGAGGAUUAAUUAGUGCAUCACGGUUAAUCUGGGGUGUUGAGUUUCAUAAUCUAUUGAAAAGCAAUUGGAAAUCAAUUCAUGUACAAGUGUGUCAUGUGUGAAGAAUGGAUCUCUAGCUAAUCCAUCAACCAUCUAUUUAGUUUUACUUUUUGUUGUUAUCUCAAUCUCAUCAAAACCAAAUCCCCUUUUUUUUUAAUUCUUGUUCUAAAGUGUCUUAAAUUUGUUUAGUUUGUGCUUUAAAGUGUUUUGAGUCUAGUGAGGUAUUGUAAGGUAUAGUUUUGUGUCAUUGAGUCUAUUCUAAACGUUUUUAACUUUGUUCUUAUAUUUUUGAGUCAAGUGAGAGGUCAUUAGCAAGCCCUCCUAAUCCCCGGUCCAGAACGAUCCCUACUUAUACAUAUACUACAAUUGUCAACAAGAGGGUUUAAUUUGUGUGUCAAGUAAUUCUCGCAUCAUGCAUACAAAUGAUGCAUCACAAAGCUCCACGUGGCAUAUGACUCCUCACAAAUAGACAAGUCAUCAAAGACAAGUGGCACAAAUCAAACAAAGGAAGUACAAAACCUUCCCAAAAGUCGGCAAAAGGGAGAAAAUCCCUCUUAAAAUCGACAAAGAGUCCAAGUUGCUCCCAAAACCAGAAAGUAAGCUAAAGCAUCUUCAUAAAACAAGCAAGAAUUGAAGAUUAUUCACAAAAUAGGUAACAAGCCCUAUAUUUUGGCCAAGCAAGGGAAAGUGGCUGAAAUGAAGACACAAAACAUGCCUAAAUUCUCCCAUGGACGAAUCAAGACACAAAUCAAAGCCAAAUCCAUCCAAAUGCAAGCUUUAAGAAGUCUAUAAAUACAAGGUCCUCAAACAAGCAUAAGGGUCGACAAUUUCUACAUUGAAGGGCCGAAAUUCUCAUAAAAGGAGAAACUCUACCAAGUCUUUGAAGACUAAUACACUACCAAAGCUCUCUUCGAAGAACGUACAACCAAAGCUGAAACUUUCUUCUAACCAAAGCUGAAGCAUUCCCUUUAAGAAUCAACAAGCACUUGGGCCGAUUCUUUCAAGACUUUGUUGCAAGCUUAAAACUUGUAACGACAUUCAAUUCAAGAUCAAGUCUCCAAGACCUUUGAAUCAAUAAAAUCCCACAUAACAUCACCUUUGCUGCAUGUCAUGAACAAACCUAGAGGUGAAGACUAUCCAUGCAUUUUUUCAAGCUCAAAACUUGACGCAAUCGUUCAAUUGUUCGUCCGAGAUCAAGUCAUCAUGACCUUUGGAUCAAUAACCUAUGCAUCUACAUCAAAUUUGAUGACUGAAUCAGAGGAAAAUUGUAAACAGAGAUUGUAACCAUACAAAUUCAUCAAUACAAAUCUACAUUGUACACGUGUUCUCAUUUCAUUCAUUACAAAUUUUUUGUGUUUACACACGUGUUAGGAGAAUUUUAAAUGGUAUGUAUUUCUUAUUUACUCCAAAAGAAAUGGUUCUAUCCAUCCUCAAAUUGAACAACCUUUUCAGAUACAUAGUUAGGGGCAAUUGUGAGGUCAUGAUUUUCUAUAACCGGGGUAAAAUGGGUAGGAAUACAAAUACAUCAAAAGUCCAAUCAAGGACUCAACAACUAUGAUCAGACUGAGGUGCACAAACGGACUAACGAUGCUACCAUCAUCCUGUGUCUUGAAAAGGUAGGUGAAGUCCGUCGACUUCACUAAGAUUGACAUUCCUAUAUUCUUGGAAAUUCCUACAAUCUAGGGAUUGGUGUGCGCCGCAAGUAAUAACACUCGUAAAAGGAUGCAAUAUCUACUCCUAGAUAUCCUUUUAGAUUCUCCCGGUUUAAUACAGAUUCUAUACCCUAAAAAAACUCUCUCUCAACUAGUAUAAAAACACCCCUCUAGGGUUCAUCUUUGAUAUCGUAAUCAUCUUAUACUCUAUUCUCUUGCCUACUACUUGAGUCUCAAAUUGCUUACUAACUUAAUCGUCAGAGAGCCUUUGGUUGGCAUCACACCAGUGCCUAGGUUAUCUUAAGCUUGUUUGUCUUUUUACAGGUAGUUACGUUUAUGCAUCUCCUCCACACACAGUGGUGAGCGAAUUUGGUUCCAACAGAGAAGGAAGUGUAACAAGUCGUCCCUAAAUUUACUCCUUUAUUAAUUGUAAAGGUGUGGCCUUAUUUUGUGAGCUAGUAGGGCCCACACCCCACUUCUUCCCUCUAUUCUGUGUCUUCCAGUCUUCUGAACCUUUCUCUCUUUCAACUAUCAUGUCCCUCACUCUCUCUCAUCUUAAACUCUCUCUCUCUCUCUCUCUCUCUCUCUCUCAACCUAUAUCUCUAUCUUCUUGGUAAGACAUCACCGACGCCACUACCUUGCCUCACCGUCUCCAAUAAGCUACACCAGCCAACCCACACCUGCACCACCAUUUGACCCUUCGUGUCUCGAACCCAGGCUAAGACCAUGGAGUCCCGACAAUGGCUAUGUCGCUGUUCAUUGUCUUCCUGAUGCGAAAUAUAUAAGCACACAAAUUAAACCCUCUUUUUGUCAAUUGUAGUAAAGAAUGUAAGUAGGGAUCGUUCUAGGCCGGGGAUUAGGAGGGAUUGCUAAAUCACUUGGAAACUGACUUGAAAACGUAAAAACAAAGUUUAAAGCACUAAACUAGACUCAAAGAAUGCAAAACUAUACUUUAAAAUACUAAGAUAAACAAAAAGAUUCAAAACAGCAAAUAAACACUCAAAACUGCCUUAAAAACACUUUCUGGGCAGUUUUGAACACCUAACACUAAAUUGGACGAAAUUGGGUUAUGACUUGACUUAAGACACUUAAAAACACAAACUAAAGUGAUUACUGACUAAUCUAACAUUUUGAAAUAAA